rnacentral:lncRNA from 1 species
UUUUUUUUACUGUACAGCAUGGUGACCCAGUUACACACACAUGCAUACAUCCUUUUCUUCUCCCAUUAAAAUGCUCCAUCAUAAGUAACUAGACAUAGUUCUCAGUGCUACACAGCAGGAUCUCACUGCUAAUCCAUUCCAAAAGCAACAGUUUGCAUCAAUUAACCCCAAGCAUUCUUUUUACUUCAGAUACUGCUUUCUGCUACUCAGAUUGCUCAUGGUCAUUCUCUGUACCACUGUCUAGUUUCAACACUAAUUUAAAAUUACUGAAUUUUGGAGCUCCCAUUGUGGCUCAGCAGAAACAAACCCAACUAGUAUCCAUGAGGAUACAGGUUCGAUCCCUGGCCUUGCUCAGUGGGUUGAGGGUCUGGCGUUGCUGUGAGUUGUGGUGUAGUUCUCAGACAAGGCUGGGACCUGGUGUUGCUGUGGCUCUGGCAUAGGCUGGCAGCUACACCGCAGCCACAGCCAUAGCCACGCCAUAUCAGAGCCAUGUCUGUGAUCUACACUGCAGCUCAUUGCAAUGCCCGAUCCUUAAUCCACUGAACGAGGCCAAGGAUCAAACCUGUGUCCUUGAGGUUACCAGUCAGAUUUGUUUCCGCUGAGCCACGAGGGAAACUACUUUUUUUUCUUUUUUUAGCUGCCCCUGUGGCAUAUGGAGCUCCUGGGCCAGAGAUCAGAUCCAAGCCACAGUUGUGACCUAUACCAGAUCCUUCCUUAAACCACUGUGCCCAGCUGGGGAUCAAACCCAUAUCCUAGCAUUACAGAGACACCGCCCAUCCGGUGUGCCACAGAGGAACUCCUAUAACAUGAUUCUAAUGUGAUUUUCUCACCUCCUCCUGAACCCAAAUUCUUUAUCAAAAACCCCAGUUAACUGUGUUUUAAACUGAAACUUUAUGUCGCUUACUCAGUUUCUAUGCAAACUCUAAGUUAAUUUUUACCACUUUCAAAAUUAUUUCACAUUUCCUUCAUUUGGAUUCUGUCUUGAAGUGACUUACAUCAUCAUAAAUUCCUAAAUGCUACCUACAAAGUAUCUGAGUAGCCACUUAUAAAGAUGGGCUACACUAAAUACAUGACAUAGUCUUGAGUGAAUGGACUAUGUUUAGGAGGGGAUAAAAAUAAAUGAAAAGACUAUAAACCUUAUUUUAACUUUUAUAAAACCUAACUGUAAAUUAGAGACAGGCUACAUGAAAACCAUAGAACUGCAUGGCUUAUGGUUUGAGAGUAGUUUUGGAGUGUGGGUUUUUUUUAUCCUUUUGGUUUGUUUGUUUGUUUGUUUUUGCUUGCUUGCUUGCUCUUAGAUUUAUUCCUGGAAUUAAUUAAUAAUGAGUUUAUACUAUAUUCUAAUUCUUCAAUGGAUAAAGUUGUUGAUGGCAAGUAAAUAUAAUACUCAUAUGAACAUAAAUAUUCUAAUAAAGAUGGCAUUUGAAAAAUAAAUUCAUUUACUUGAAUUAUCUUAUGUAAACUUAAGUCAUUUUCAUUAAAUUAUAAACACAUUACUUUUAAUCCAAAAAUAACUGACAGUUGCUUUUUUAUUUUUUCAAGUUUCAGUAUUUGGGUACAGUGGUAUCAUGUGCAAAUCUGGGAGCAAGAAUACAAACAAAGGACCCAGCCCUUAGACUUACCCCAUUCUCUUCCCAAACCAGGCUCCAUCAGGAAAAUCAGAGACCUAGUGCCUGCAUGGAGACAACAAACUGAGCCCCAAUGGCUCCUCCCUGCUCCUGCCACCAUCCCACAACAGAUUCAGAAAUUGACCUGUGCAAGGCCAGGAAGUGGGAUGGGUAUAUUUGGGGUAGAGAAUUUCUGUUCCCUGGUACCAAAUGGAAUGGGGUUGGAGGGCAUGUUAGGGAGAGGACGUGGGCUGUAGUUGGGCAUGUCCCUUUGGGAAAGGUGUGGUAGGACAAGGGUCAGAAAGGGGUCUGGAAAGAUGCAGCCUAAGGUAGGGCCCUGGUUGUCAAGGUCUAAGUAAGUGGUAGACAGACACCAAUUGCAUUUAAUGAGAAUUUUUCAUGGAAAGGGUGUAAAAUAUUAACAAAAACUAAAAAUACUAGAAAACUUGUGAAGUUUUUUACCAUUUUUUAGGAAAUUUUCUGAAAUGCAGGAGAUGCCAAAACCCUUAUUUUAACAUACUGUUGUUUUGAAAAACUUCACUUUCCUACAAUAAUUACUGCAAAGCUAAUAAACUCCAAAGUAAAACUCCAACACUUAAAACAUGAACUAAAGUAUACUUUAUAUUUUCUUGUACUGUCUUUUUGUUUCUAUGUACACAGUAUCUCACCAAUGUCUACCAGGAAACAUGUCAAGUAAAUAUAAAAUUCAAGUAAAGAAUAAUCAAUAAAACUGACAGUAAGUCCUUGAUUCUAAAUGAAGGAUCAACAUUCUUUGGAACAUCUACUGGGUAUCCAUUGUUGCAUUAGGACAUUAACGAUUUAUAAAUUAUUAUUUUGCUGCUUAUUGUUAUAGAAAAAUACUUCAACAAAACAUAAAACCUCUUAUCACAUUUUUGAAAAAUUAUUGUUUUUAAUAAAUCACAUAAUGAGGAAGAGAAAAAAGUUCAGAUGAAGCAUGCUAUAUUGGCAUAAUUGAUAAUUAUCAACUCUUGAUAACUGAUAAUUCAUCCAAAUUAUCAAAUUUAUAAUAAGCUAGAAUAUCAAUAUUAGGAACAGAACAAGUGGGGAAAUUUCUAGGAUCUUAAUUCUUUAUGAGGCUAAAACUCUCCCAGGAAACUGGGAAAAGUCUCUACAACUGCCAAGAAAUCCCACUUGGCUCCUGUAGGAACAUAUAAAAUACGUGCUGCCUCUUUCCUUGAAUACAGUGAAAGAGAGCAGACCCUAGUUUUUAGAAGUAUCCAAGAUCCUCUUUUUUUUUCAAAGGCCACUCGAGUUGUGAAGGAGACAUAUCAGAGGUUUCACUUAGUGUGACAAUGUCACAUUUCCCUGUAUAUCGCAUCUAAUGCUUCCAGGGGUCAGACCUGGUGGCCAGCAUUUGACAGCAUGGCCUUUGUAACAGCUGACCUCAAAGGCUGCAACUCUUUGUUCAGCUUCCAUAAGGUCUCUAAGUGGCAGCUUUCAGCAGUGGCUGCCAUGGUUUACUUCUCUCAGCAGUUGUUACUAAGUUGGCUCUUCCCCACUGCUGUUGCUUUAAUACUGGCUGCUAGUAGAAAGCAGUCUACUAAAAACACUUCUGCGGCUUUCCAUCUACCUUUUGCAUUUCAGGUCCUGCUCACCUCCUUAAAUACCAGCCUAAAAACAUCUUCUAGGUGUUGUUCUUUAAAUUAAAUAAUGAGUCCCCUGGUUAACCCUCAGAACCAUCUUUAGACAGCAUUUCACAAUAGAACCCCUGGUGAGAGCGACAAAUAGGAUGCUUCUCAGCUUUCUCAAAUAAUUGCAUUUUAAAGUAAUUUACUUAAAAAUUUUAUUAAGUCACAAUUGGGCAGCAAGUGUCAAAGUACUAUUUUGGAGAGUCUGUUGACUCUCCCUUCCCUUCCUACCUAACCUCAUCCCCAGCUGGUGAAUUUACUUUCUUUCCUGGCAGCAAAAUGCAAAGAAAGUAAAUGAAAGCAUACAAACCGCUGCAAUAGGUAGCAACUCCAGCCAAUCCUAGAAGCCACCACACCAAUAUUGUAAGCUGUUUUCUUUUCCAGGCCUGGAGUUCCUUUGAUGUGUUAUUGGUCACCUGAUAGAAAUAAUGAGGUCCUAUGAAAACAGUUUUCUUUCAAUGACCAUCAUCUCAGCAGCAGAAGCUACUGUAAGUCUUCAGUACUAGAGAAGAUUCCAAUCUCACAGGCUCAUUACAGUCUCUACAGAAGACCUAGUUCCUCCUUUUGUGAUCUUUUUUGUUUCCUACAACACAAACUUCUAAAAUUCCUCCUUAGGGUGGGCUUAACAGGAGCAUGGUUUCUUUUCCCUUAAUUAUUGCUUUUGGCUUUGACUCUUUGUAUUAGAAUACCUUUAACAUGAGGAGGUCUCUGUAAUCCUGAUAACCAGGGGUGCUGCUAUGUAAGCUGGCCUUGAUUAGAUCCUCUUUUCAACCUAGUUCCAAACAUAAGACUCUGUCUUUGGCUUACCUCAGUUUGGUAAUAAUGAAAAUGUAUAUACAUUUUACAACAGGAUUGUUCUUAUUCUCAUUGCUUUUCCCUUUCUUUAAUAAACUACAUUUGGGUGACAAAUGCUUCCAAAUAAAGUAAUAAUUCAUGGUGCUUCAUUGCUAUAUUUUGCUGGGCCUAAAAUUCCAAAUUCUGUUGAGAUACCUCUGUCUAAAGCCAAACUCCCAGGAUCUCUCAUUGUUUUUUCUCCCUCAGGAAGUUAAAGGAAGAUCUUCUCUGCCUUUCAAAGAGGUCCUGAACUCACAUUCAAAGUACUUAGCAAAAGGAUCUAAUAUUUCUUUUUCAUUCUUUAGAGAGCAACAAAGAUAUUUAUUCAUAUGUACCUCUCAACAAUCUUUAUCUAAUCUUCAGAUCACAAACACUGUUGAAGUGAUUUUGAACUACUGAUCAGGUUAUUAAACAAGACCACCUACUUCUUUUCCAAUAUAGGUGAGGACAAAUACUUAAGUAAAAGGUAUAAAAGUUAUCAGAAAGCAUAUGAAGUUUCAGCUAUGUACCAAAAAUUGACACACAAGUUGACCACUGAUUUUAUAAAAACCCAGAAAAAUAUCUUCCCUACUUAUAGUAACAAAUCUCUAUCCCAGCCAGGUUUAAAAAAUACCUUUUAACCCUAUUCCAAAGAUAAAAUGUCAUUAACACGUACAUUUUUUCCAACAAUUCUUAGUCUGUAAUUUUGUUCAGUGAGCUACUUCUGAAUUACUUGAGCUAAGAAGGGCAAAUAUUUUAAAUUAUUUAGUCUUUUCUGAUUUUCUAAUGUAACUUACCUACUCAUUUAUAGCGAUCAUCUUUUUAAGCAUAGUAUAAGUUUGCUUCU